CCAAUCACAACGAAGAGAACGGUUGUGUAACCAAUCAUAAAGAAGAGAAGAUAGACUCCUUGGAAAGCGAUAUAAACAAGUCUGAUGAAGGCAUUGUAAGGGUCGAAAUCAACAAGGAGGAGAAACUGGACCAACA